UGGAACGGGACCUAUAUGUCGAUGACGU
rnacentral:sRNA from 1 species